rnacentral:rRNA from 1 species
AUUGAACGCUGGCGGCAUGCUUUACACAUGCAAGUCGAACGGUAACAGGCCUUCGGGUGCUGACGAGUGGCGAACGGGUGAGUAAUGCAUCGGAACGUGCCCAAUCGUGGGGGAUAACGUAGCGAAAGUUACGCUAAUACCGCAUAAGCCCUGAGGGGGAAAGCAGGGGAUCGCAAGACCUUGCGCGAAUGGAGCGGCCGAUGUCAGAUUAGCUAGUUGGUGGGGUAAAGGCCUACCAAGGCGACGAUCUGUAGCGGGUCUGAGAGGAUGAUCCGCCACACUGGGACUGAGACACGGCCCAGACUCCCUACGGGAGGCAGCAGUGGGGAAUUUUGGACAAUGGGCGCAAGCCUGAUCCAGCCAUGCCGCGUGCGGGACGAAGGCCUCGGUUGUAA